GAUGAACGCUGGCGGCGUGCCUAAUACAUGCAAGUCGAGCGAACGGACGAGAAGCUUGCUUCUCUGAUGUUAGCGGCGGACGGGUGAGUAACACGUGGAUAACCUACCUAUAAGACUGGGAUAACUUCGGGAAACCGUAGCUAAUACCGGAUAAUAUUUUGAACCGCAUGGUUCAAAAGUGAAAGACGGUCUUGCUGUCACUUAUAGAUGGAUCCGCGCUGCAUUAGCUAGUUGGUAAGGUAACGGCUUACCAAGGCAACGAUGCAUAGCCGACCUGAGAGGGUGAUAGGCCACACUGGAACGGAGACACGGUCCAGACUCCUACGGGAGGCAGCAGUAGGGAAUCGUCCGCAAUGGGCGAAAGCCUGACGGAGCAACGCCGCGUGAGUGAUGAAGGUCUUCGGAUCGUAAAACUCUGUUAUUAGGGAAGAACAUAUGUGUAAGUAACUGUGCACAUCUUGACGGUACCUAAUCAGAAAGCCACGGCUAACUACGUG
rnacentral:rRNA from 1 species